UUGAAUGUAAACGGAGAGACUGUUUGAACAGCGCCGACGGGGAAAGCAUAGACUAUGUGAAACUCUCAGGCAAAAGGAUGUUUACAGGACG
rnacentral:ncRNA from 2 species